AUGAUUUUUUUAAUUAUUUGUGAAACGUACUACGAACAAACAAAAAAUAUUAUAGUCAAAAAAAAAUUAAAUCG
rnacentral:misc_RNA from 1 species